CUGUAACGUUUAGUAGGGGCA
rnacentral:siRNA from 1 species